rnacentral:rRNA from 1 species
GAACUGCAUCCAAAACUAACUCACUAGAGUACGAUAGAGGGAGGUAGAAUUCAUAGUGUAGCGGUGGAAUGCGUAGAUAUUAUGAAGAAUACCGGUGGCGAAGGCGGCCUCCUGGAUCUGUACUGACACUGAGGUGCGAAAGCGUGGGUAGCGAACAGGAUUAGAUACCCUGGUAGUCCACGCCGUAAACGAUGACAACUAGCUGUUGGGAGACAAUGUCUUUCAGUGGCGCAGCUAACGUUUUAAGUUGUCCGCCUGGGGAGUACGGCCGCAAGGCUAAAACUCAAAUGAAUUGACGGGGACCCGCACAAGCGGUGGAGCAUGUGGUUUAAUUCGAUGCAACGCGAAAAACCUUACCUACUCUUGACAUACUUGGAAGCUCUUGUAAUGAGAGUGUGCCUUUUGGAACUAAGAUACAGGUGCUGCAUGGCUGUCGUCAGCUCGUGUCGUGAGAUGUUCCGUUAAGUCGGAUAACGAGCGCAACCCUUACCCUUAUUUGCCAGCGAUUCGGUCGGGAACUAUAAGGGGACUGCCGGUGAUAAACCGGAGGAAGGUGAGGACGACGUCAAGUCAUCAUGGCCCUUACGAGUAGGGCUACACACGUGCUACAAUGGGGAAUACAGACGGACGCUAAGCCGCGAGGUGGUGCUAAUCCUAAAAAGUUCUUCGUAGUCCGGAUUGGAGUCUGCAACUCGACUCCAUGAAGUCGGAAUCGCUAGUAAUCGCGAAUCAGCAUGUCGCGGUGAAUACGUUCUCGGGUCUUGUACACACCGCCCGUCACACCAUGGAAGUGGAUUGCACCAGAAGUAGAUAGUCUAACCUUCGGGAGGGCGUUUACCACGGUGUGUUUCAUGACUGGGGUGAAGUCAUAACAAGGUAGCCGUA